rnacentral:rRNA from 1 species
CGCGGCCUAUCAGCUUGUUGGUGAGGUAAUGGCUCACCAAGGCAACGACGGGUAGCCGGCCUGAGAGGGCGACCGGCCACACUGGGACUGAGACACGGCCCAGACUCCUACGGGAGGCAGCAGUGGGGAAUAUUGGGCAAUGGAGGAAACUCUGACCCAGCGACGCCGCGUGCGGGAUGAAGGCCUUCGGGUUGUAAACCGCUUUCAGUAGGGAAGAAGCGAAAGUGACGGUACCUACAAAAGAAGCACCGGCUAACUAUGUGCCAGCAGCCGCGGUAAUACAUAGGGUGCAAGCGUUGUCCGGAAUUAUUGGGCGUAAAGAGCUCGUAGGUCGUUUGUUACGUCGGAUGUGAAAACCUGAGGCUCAACCUCAGGCCUGCAUUCGAUACGGGCAAACUAGAGUUUGGUAGGGGAGACUGGAAUUCCUGGUGUAGCGGUGGAAUGCGCAGAUAUCAGGAGGAACACCAAUGGCGAAGGCAGGUCUCUGGGCCAAUACUGACACUGAGGAGCGAAAGUCUGGGGAGCGAACAGGAUUAGAUACCCUGGUAGUCCAGACCGUAAACGGUGGGCACUAGUUGUGGGAACCUUCCACGGUUUCUGCGACGCAGCUAACGCAUUAAGUGCCCCGCCUGGGGAGUACG